GUUUCCUCCAUGCUGUUUUCAUGAUAGUGAGUUCUCAUGACAUCUGAUGAUUUAAAAGUGGCAUUUCUUCCCCACCUCCUGCUGUGAUGUAAGUCGUGCUUUGCUUCCUCUUCCGCCAUGAUUGUAGGUUUCCUGAGGCCUCCUCAGUCAUUUGGAACUUACUAGGAAAAAAGACAGACCAGGUGAGGAGAUGAAUGGAGUGAGAAGACAGCCCAGUGGAAUGAGAAACUAAUGAGGACCUAAAUGCCUGUGAUGGAGGUGAGGACAAAGGGGUAUCUUUAACAACACCAGGAGAGAGAAAACUGGAUGGACAAUAAUGCAGGGUGGCUUUUGUAUUGAGCUUGCUUGUGCCUAUGAACCAUGAUGAAUGACAAAUGCAAUUGCAUGCUGAAAACCGGGUUGAGUGAUCCAGGCUCAUUUAUGUGUCUGAACACCUAUAAUUACAGGACUUUAGGUACUUAAUUUUAUCAUGAGAGGUGGUGAGUUUACAAAACUCAAUAUGGGCACAAAUUAAAAUAGUUCAAUAAUUUUAAGAAACUCAAAAUUAUCCAAAGCAAUUUAUAAUUUCACAUUCAAUAUUAGCAUAAUCAAUUUUUAAUUUUUUCAUCUAAAUAAUAAAAUAUUUUGAAAUUUGGAAUCCCCAGAGAUACAGAAAAGCUGGUAGACUGUGCUCUUCCCACAAGCUAUGUCUUUACCGCCCACAUUAUCCAAGUUGUAGACAUCCAAUAAAUUCAAAUAUUACAAAACUGUCAAAUCCAUUUUUACAUUCAGAUGAUCAGAAGUUUCCAAACAUCAGCUGAAUUUGGUUUUCUGGCAUAAUAGCAAUUAUAAUUAAUAAACUUAUUUGCAUAAUCAUUAUAAAUUGUCACAGAAUUGCAGAUCUGCAGAGAGAUUGAAAGAUGUGAUUUAGAUAGUAUUGAAACCCUAGGGAGUUGUUGAUGUAGAAUAAUACAAUGAAUUAUUGGAAAGUUAAACUGAGUACUACUCUAUAUAACUUCCAACAUUCACUGACCCAAUUUCAAUUCUGAGCUCAGAAAUUUGUAUCAUUGUCUGAUGAAGCUUAUCUAAGCCAAAUUUCAGCUGAAGAUCCUUUGUUGAAGGCAUCUCUGCCCCUCUCAAUUUCCUGAAAUAAACAUAAAAAUAAUAAUGAUGAUGAUGAUAAUAUUAUAGAAAACUACACCUUCAAAGAAGUUAGUAAGCAGCAAAAUCUCAGACCACAGUUUAUGAAAGAAGGCUUGAAAAGUGCAAUGAAAAAGAAAUCUGGUUUAGAAAAAAAGCCAAGAGUUGAAAAACAGGUCUACACAAAAUGGUUACCUAAAAGUGGCAUCUACAGACAGAAAGUCCAUACUAAAGCCCCCUCUACUGUAAGGAGCAGCAAGGUUUGUUGCAUCUUGAGCCACAUCUGUUAGUGUGAAGUGGCAGAGAAGAUGUGUAGAAAUAAAGACACCUACAGAUACAAAACAAACUACCACCACCAAUCACAAAUGCAAUCAUAUGGCAAGAUGGGGGAGGAAAGUGAGUGACCAAGAGUUCUGCAAUGAUAUUAAAAAGAAUAGUCUUGAAAUCACGACACACACACACACACUUAAUGAUUUUUUUGUUUUGUUUUUGGCUGGAGUGCAGUGGCACUAUAGUAAUCCACUGCAGCCUUGAACUCCUAGGCUCAAGCUGUCUUACUACCUCAGCCUUCUGAGUAACUGGUACUACAGGCAUGCACCACCACGCCUGACUAUUUGUGUAUGUGUGUUUGUGUGUAUGUGUAGAGAUAGGGUCUCACUAUAUUGCCUAGUCUGGUCUCAAACUGCUGGGCCCAAGUGAAGAAAUCCUCCUGCCUCAGUCUCCCAAAGCCCUGGGAUUACAGAUGUGAGCCACCAUGCCCAGCCAAGAAUAAUAAUUUUAAGGGCUUUAUGGAUACUUGAUGCCCCCAAGCGCUGAAGAAGUAAGCAUAAAUAUUUCCUCAAAGAAUUUCCACAGGGAAAUUUUCAAUAUUUAUUCUCUCUCUCUCACACACACACACAUACAAACACACAUACACAAAACAUCCCAACACACACACAUACACAACAUCCCAACACACACACAUACACACACCAUCCCAACACACACAUAUACACACACCAUCUUAAAGCACCCACGGGAACAAUACCUUGUGAGAAAGAGAAAUCAAAACAACUUUAGUAUCAGACCCACAAAGAAGGUAGAAGUUGGAUUUACCAAAUGUAAAAUACAGAAUGCAAAGUAUUUGUAUCUAAAGAAAUAAAAGACCAAAUUUAAAACAUGAGUGAAGCUUAAAAGCUUACAUAAAAGUAUCUGGUAAAUUUGAAAAUAGACCACAGAGGAUUCCAAGACAUACCUAGAGUCUUCAAAGUACAACUGUAGAAUACAAAAGAAAAAAAAUAUAUUUUAGAAGAAGUUAGCUUAAAUGCAGGUCACGAACAGAGAGCAUCUUUCUCUAUUUACAACCUGGUCCUCCUGACUCUCAAUUUAGUUCUCUUUUUGACUUUCCAUAGUUGUACAAUUACUAAGGUAACCGUUUGGAGAAUAAAAAAUAAACAAAUUAACAAACGGAAAUGAGGAGGUCAAAUUGAAGGAAGUAUAAACAAAUGUUUCAUUUUUCAUAGUGGAGUCUACAAAGGAGUAUAGGAACAAAUAUAAAAUACUGGAAAAAAGUUGUAAAUUUAAUUCAACAGGAUAUGAUAAUGGUUUGCAGUGACAAAUGGAAAUGCAAAGAAGUUUUAAUAUUAGAAAAAUCUAUUAGUAUAAUGUAUUAUAUUAUUAAGUGAUUGAAGGAAAGAGGCCACCACAAUAGCUGCUGGAAAGAUAUUUAAUAAGCUUUAAUACCCAUUUUUAAUAACAGCAAACUAGCAACUAGAAUGGUUCUUGUUCAACUUGAUUAAAGAUAUAAAUCUAAAUUAUAGAGCCAGUUCAAUAUAUAACAGUGAAACACCAGAGGCCUCCUCAUUAAAAUCAGGAACAGCAGAGAAUGGCUGCUGCUCAGUUAUUUUUCCAUUAACUAUGGAUGUUCCAGAACUUUCUUGGUCAAAUUCUUCUGUAUAGGCCUGAAACUUCUUGAAGCUCUACAUAUAUUUACUCAUCUUUUUAAUCUUUUAUUGAAGAUACUUGUAGGAAUAAAAAAUGUUUUUCUGGUAAGUGUUAUUUGCAAGUGAGUCACACCAAGAUGUAAUUUACUUGCAAAUAACAAUUAUCUUUCUCAGAAAUAUGAAUUUCAUAUUAUGAGUGAAAUGUAUAAUGUUUACAAGCUCUUGUGCAGAAAUUAUCCCACAUUUAAUCUUGUUACUGAGAGAAAGACAGAGAGAGAGACAGAGAGAGAGAGAGAGUGUCCAUUAAACCUAAGGUAAAAAUCAGAUUUUAUCCUAGAUGCAAGCAAACAAUUUAGUGUGCAACAGUGUUACAGAUGCUGAUAGAAGAGUCUACAAUCUACUCCUGCAUAAGAGCUACAGAACAGUUCUUUACUCACAGUCAUAGCAAUAGCCAGAAUAUUAGUAUUUUUGCAUGGUUUUUCUGAAUCCCAGCUCCUAAAGGGAGAUACAAAGAGAGCCAGGUGACAUCCAAACAAACACUCAGUGUGCUGCAUUACAGAAGGGGAGCCCUGAGCUUAGGGAGCCUGAAUGUUUUAUAGUGGACAAAGGCUUGCUUGCUCUUUCUUCCAGGAGACAUUCUCUUUAUUACACUGGACAGUGUGCCUGUGCUUUUGUCUAGAGGGGGACACUACCUCCCAAAGCUGUUCACUAUACAAACAAUCCUGAAGAGAUAGUCCAGAGAAAAGGACAGUCAGUGCCCUUGCUCACAAGGCAUGCAGAAACACAAGAGACCAAUAGAGAAUUGUCUUCCCACAGCAAUCAACUCUGAUUGUCAUUAUACAGCUAUCAGUAUGACAUUUUAUUUGUUGUCAAGCUUUUACAUUAGACCCUUAUUUCCAUGAAAGUAUGAACGAUGUUUAUUUUUUCUACUACUGCAUGCAUAAUAAAG
rnacentral:lncRNA from 10 species